rnacentral:rRNA from 1 species
AUUGAACGCUGGCGGCAGGCCUAACACAUGCAAGUCGAACGCAGUGGGGACGGGUGAGUAACACGUGGGUAACCUCCCAUCAGUGGGGAUAACACUUGGAAACAGGUGCUAAACCGAUACUGAUGGAUGGACCCGCGGUGCAUUAGCCAGUUGGUGAGGUAACGGCUCCCCAAGGCCACGAUGCAUAGCCGACCUGAGAGGGUGAGCGGCCACACUGGGACUGAGACACGGCCCAGACUCCUACGGGAGGCAGCAUGGGUGAAUAUUGCGCAAUGGGCGCAAGCCUGAUGCAGCCAUGCCGCGUGUAUGAAGAAGGCCUUCGGGUUGUAAAGUACUUUCAGCGGGGAGGCGGUACCCGCAGAAGAAGCACCGGCUAACUCCGUGCCAGCAGCCGCGGUAAUUC